UACAUAGGGUGCAAGCGUUGUCCGGAAUUAUUGGGCGUAAAGAGCUCGUAGGUGGUUCGUCACGUCGGAUGUGAAACUCUGGGGCUUUAACCCCAGACCUGCAUUCGAUACGGGCGAGCUUGAGUAUGGUAGGGGAGUCUGGAAUUCCUGGUGUAGCGGUGGAAUGCGCAGAUAUCAGGAGGAACACCAAUGGCGAAGGCAGGUCUCUGGGCCAAUACUGACACUGAGGAGCGAAAGUCUGGGGAGCGAAUAGG
rnacentral:rRNA from 1 species